AUACGGAAGGUCCGGGCGUUAUCCGGAUUUAUUGGGUUUAAAGGGAGCGCAGGCGGAGAUGCAAGCGUGACGUCAAAUUUCGGGGCUCAACCCCGUCUCGCGUCGCGAACUGCGUCCCUUGGUUGCGGGAAGGGGAGGCGGAACUCGUGGUGUAGCGGUGAAAUGCGUAGAUAUCACGAAGAACUCCGAUCGCGAAGGCAGCCUUCCGGCCCGUCAACGACGCUCAUGCUCGAAGGUGCGGGUAUCAAACAGGAUUAGAUACCCUGGUAGUCCGCACAGUAAACGAUGGACACCCGCGGUUUGGCCUGUAUGGCUGAGCCGCCAAGCGAAAGCGUUAAGUGUCCCACCUGGGGAGUACGCCGGCAACGGUGAAACUUAAAGGAAUUGACGGGG
rnacentral:rRNA from 1 species